UGGGGAAUAUUGCACAAUGGGCGCAAGCCUGAUGCAGCCAUGCCGCGUGUAUGAAGAAGGCCUUCGGGUUGUAAAGUACUUUCAGCGGGGAGGAAGGUGUUGAGGUUAAUAACCUCAGCAAUUGACGUUACCCGCAGAAGAAGCACCGGCUAACUCCGUGCCAGCAGCCGCGGUAAUACGGAGGGUGCAAGCGUUAAUCGGAAUUACUGGGCGUAAAGCGCACGCAGGCGGUCUGUCAAGUCGGAUGUGAAAUCCCCGGGAUCAACCUGGGAACUGCAUUCGAAACUGGCAGGCUAGAGUCUUGUAGAGGGGGGUAGAAUUCCAGGUGUAGCGGUGAAAUGCGUAGAGAUCUGGAGGAAUACCGGUGGCGAAGGCGGCCCCCUGGACAAAGACUGACGCUCAGGUGCGAAAGCGUGGGGAGCAAACA
rnacentral:rRNA from 1 species